AGACUGUAAGCAAUGGGUUUAUCGUGAUAUCCUCGGUCUUACUUUUGUGCCCUUUUCAGAGAAAAUGUUAGUUUUAUUUUUAUUUUUGGUUUCGUACUCUACAAAGUGAUUGAAUGGCAUUAUCGAACCAUUCUUAUGUUCAAUCGCAUGCACUCUAUUGAACUGACGCGUUACCGAAAUGCCACCGAAUUGUGAGAAAUAUCGUUUCCAUCUGCUCUGAGCGGCUAGUCGGCGACACUCAUUAUUUCCAGCGACGGGAAGCGCCCCGUCAGUCGGCCCGGAGGCCAAGGCCGACCAACCGGUGGCGGCUCGCUCGGUUCCUAUCUCGCUGACCUCCACCGUUCGCCCACAGCAAAAACACUCGGCGAGGGUUAGAUUGUGAAAAACUGAACGUGGUAUCAGUAAACAACUGAUAAUGGGUUGACGACACACCAAGGGCAAACGACUGUCGGAUAGGUAUAAAACGGGCGCCAGACGCAGCAGCGACACACUCACACAGUCCACACCACACUCAACAACAUCCACUCUCCAACACUAUCACUCGACAUGCACACCCUGCCUGCUGUCGUGGAGCUGACGAGAAAGGCCAUUGGCACGACUUGGCAGCUGCAGACUGUUCUUUCGGCACUUCCGGCUUCUUCAUCAGCCUGCUCGAGUGCGAUAGCAGCUCGUGCAGGACUGAUUUUCGGACUCUUUCGGUUCUUCAUAUCGGCCUGCUCGAUUGCCUUAGCAACUCCUGCAGAACUGAUUUUCGGCCUUGUUGGUUUCAGUCUCAUCUUUCGGCUCAUUUCAAUAUAUCUACUUUUUGUUCA